rnacentral:tRNA from 1 species
GCGGUAGUAGCUCAGUGGUAGAGCACAACCUUGCCAAGGUUGGGGUCGCGGGUUCGAGUCCCGUCUACCGCU